rnacentral:rRNA from 1 species
GAUGAACGCUGACAAUGUACUUUAGGCAUGCAAGUCGAACGGGUGAGACCGCAAGGUCAAUCCAGUGGCAGACGGGUGAGUAUAAGGUAGGAAUCUACCUCUUAGUGGGGAAUAGCUCGCCGAAAGGCGGGGUAAUACCGCAUACGAUCGCAAGAUCAAAGAGCAUAACUGCUCGCUGAGAGAUGAGCCUGCCGGCUAUCAGCUUGUUGGUAAGGUAAUGGCUUACCAAGGCGAUGACAGCUAGGGGGCGUGAGAGCGCGGCCCCCCACAAGGGUUACUGAGACACGGAACCUACACCUACGGGAGGCAG